ACGGCGAGUGAAGCGGCAACAGCUCGAAUUUGAAAUCUGGCCUCGGCCCGAGUUGUAAUCUGUAGAGGACGCUUUUGGCGCGGUGCCUUCCGAGUGCCCUGGAACGGGACGCCACAGAGGGUGAGAGCCCCGUAUGGUCGGACACCAAGCCUGUGUAAAGCUCCUUCGACGAGUCGGGUAGCUUGGGAAUGCUGCUCUAAGCGGGAGGUAAACUUCUUCUAAAGCUAAAUAUUGGCCAGAGACCGAUAGCGCACAAGUAGAGUGAUCGAAAGAUGAAAAGCACUUUGGAAAGAGAGUUAAACAGUACGUGAAAUUGUUGAAAGGGAAGCGCUUGCAACCAGACUUGCGCGCGGCCGAUCAUCCGGUGUUCUCCACUGGUGCACUCUGCCCGGCUCAGGCCAGCGUCGGCUGUCACGGGGGGACAAAAGCACUGGGAAAGUAGCUCUCUCCGGGGAGUGUUAUAGCCCUAUGCAGAAUACCCCCGCGGCGGCCGAGGUCCGCGCUCUGCA
rnacentral:rRNA from 1 species